rnacentral:rRNA from 1 species
GACGAACGCUGGCGGCGUGCUUAACACAUGCAAGUCGAACGAAGUGGCGAACGGGUGAGUAAUACGUGAGUAACCUGCCCUCCUUGUUGGGAUAAGCCUUGGAAACGGGGUCUAAUACCGGAUAAAGGGGGAUGGGGUCGCGGCAUUUCAGCUUGUUGGUGGGUGGAUGGCCUACCAAGGCGGUGACGGGUAGCCGGCCUGAGGGGGUGACCGGGGACAUUGGCACUGCGCUACGUCCCACGGGACGCAGCGGGGGAGCAGUGGGGGAGAUUGCACAAUGGGCGAAAGACUGAUGCAGCGUGUCCGCGUGGGGGAUUAAGGUUUUCGGGUUGUAAACCUAUUUCGCUAUCGAACGGGUAGGUGGAGAAUAAGCGCCGGCUAACUACGUGCCAGCAGCCGCGGUAAUUC